AGGAUGUCAAUGGUUUGUCGCAGAUGGAGGGAGGUUGCUUCAGAACCGAUAUUAUGGAGAAAAGUUGACUUGUCCACUCCAAGUUUUAAAUUCUUAAAAGCAUCCACUGCAACAAUAGAAAAGUUGAUACCCACAAGACUAGCAGGUGUCAUUCAACUUAACCUUUUAGGAUGGGACAAACUUACAGAUAAAACAAUACAGACAAUAGGUAAACACUGCCACGAACUCCAGUCAAUAGUCCUGUCACGUUGUGAGAACUUAACAUCUAAAAGUAUUGCAUCUCUUGCUGACAAGUGCCACCAAUUAAAGAUGAUUGAUAUCUCAUUUACAAAGGUAAUUUUAUUUAAGAUUUAUUUAGCUGCUGACAGUGA